UACAGAGGGUGCAAGCGUUAAUCGGAAUUACUGGGCGUAAAGCGUGCGCAGACGGUUAUCUAAGUCGAGUGUGAAAGCCCCGGGCUCAACCUGGGAAUUGCAUUCGAAACUGAAUAGCUAGGGUGCGGAAGAGGGAAGUGGAAUUUCCGGUGUAGCGGUGAAAUGCGUAGAUAUCGGAAGGAACAUCAGUGGCGAAAGCGACUUCCUGGUCCAGCACCGACGUUCAGGCGCGAAAGCGUGGGGAGCAAAUAGG
rnacentral:rRNA from 1 species